rnacentral:misc_RNA from 1 species
AGACCUAGCUGCUAUUGAAGCUCCACAAAUGGAUAAGACUUGGUCUUAGUGUAUAUAUACGAAUUUUUGAAAAUAGAAUAGAUAAAUAUAAGGAGCAAUAAAUUCUUUCUUAUUCUAUCAAGAAGGGUUAUUGCUCCUUUAUUUUGUUUUUAAUUCKUAGUCUUUUUUGAGUAAUAUUGUACUUACCUAGACUUUUUUUUUUUCUAUAAAAAAAGAAAGAAGAUCAAGAAAAUGAUUCAAAUUCGAUCUUUUGUCUUACAAUUUCUAAAAAAUCCAAUUGAAAAUAGAAUUCGUAAAAAAAAACGUAACGUAAAURGUAAAUAAAAAAAAUAUUAAUAUAAUUUUAAAAUAUAUUUUAAAUUCAUAUUUAUUAAUUCUUAAUCAAAGUAAAUAAWUUAGAAU